GAGGCUACUGCGCAAGUCAGACGCGGGGCCGCAGGGCUUGCUGGGUGUUGUAGUCCGGGUGGCCGAGCGCGAGCUGUGGAGCAUAUGUGAAUUUUGAAUAAGAACCAACCAAGCUUGAUGACCUCGGUUCAAUCUCAAGUGAGGCAUAGGUGGAAGAAGGUGCAAAUCAACUGCCACGAGUUGUCUUCUGACCACCACAUGUGGGGCCUCCACCGUGGGACGCCCGCCCCAGGAAGCAAAUAAGCAAAAGCAUUUCUGGAAAUUCCUUAAUUCAAUUUCACAGUCCUCAAGGGACUCUCAACCCAGAGUCUGGGAAACACAAGUACAGCAUUUAGCAGUCCCAGGAACUGUCUGUGGGAUGAAUUCUCAUCUAGGAAGACUUAGCACUCCAGUAGCUACAGAACCAGCGGCAUCCACACAUUGUGCUAACACUCGGUUAGCAGAGAGCUCUGUUAAAACCCAGACCUGGUCCUGACCCUCCUCCGCAACCUCUGUUUCCUCCGUGUACCUACCUGCUACCUUCGAGUUUCAGAUCCUUACGAAGCGGCCAGACCCGGGACAACCUCACUUCACCUACUCCAGCCUCAUCCUAAGACCCUGUUUCCGGUUUCCUUUGGCUCGGCUUUGACUGGCUCUUCUUGUCUCUCACGCACUUUUGAAAGUUGUGCUACCCACCUUGAGACGCUUCCCUUGGUCUCUGAGCCAAUCAUUCAGUAGCCUUUUCUCCUCUGUUACCGAGCCCCUUCCUCACCAAUUGUUGCUGCUUUGAUAGGCUUUCUAUGCACCCAGGCUACCUAUGAACUCUCUUUGUAGCCAGUUUGAAUAACGUGUUGCUCCCCUCGCCACCGCCCCUCAUAUAUUUAAAUACUUGGUCCCUAGUCAGUACAGCUGUUUGGGAAGGAUGAGGAGGUAUAAUCUUAUCAGAGGAUUGGAGAAGGUAUGUAAUGGGGGGUGAACUCUGAGGUUUCAAAACAUUUGGGCCAUCUCCCAUCUUUCUCCCCUUCUCUCUCCCUCCCUUUUCCCCUCUCUCCUCUCCCCUCCCCCACCCACAACUUUAAGGUCAAUGAGUAAGCUUUUACUAUAACAAUAACACUGUAUUCUUUAAGACAUAAACUCCAUGAAGACGAAAUCAUAUUAAACUGCCAUUCACUCAG